rfam:Rozella allomycis CSF55 unplaced genomic scaffold scaffold_3004, whole genome shotgun sequence.
GGUGAGAUGGCCGAGCGGUCUAAGGCGUAUGAUUCAAGCUCUUAUCUCUUCGGAGGCGUGGGUUCAAAUCCCACUCUCACUA